AAAAAAAAAAAAAAAAAAAGUGGCUGUUGAUCUUUGUUUAUUUCUCUUGUUUUCUGUCUUCCCAUGUGAAUAUGGACAUUUCUCAUUUGUCUUCUAUUCUUUCUUUCCCUUUUCUUCUUUUACUUUUCUUUUGUACAAUGGUCUCAAUUUAUUUCCCUGAAAAUUACACAGCGAUAAAGAAUAUCAGAAGCUGAUCAUUUGUCCAAAAUCAUUAUAAUGAAACAAUGAUGUAUAAAUUGAUAAAAAAAUCAUUUUGAUUAGACAAAAGUAUUUAAGAUCUACUUGCCAAUGGAUCUUUUGCAAUGAAGAACUGCCUCAUAAAUUGAGCUCUCAGAGUCGCAAGACCUCCGCCAAUCGUCAACAGAGUAAGCUACACUUAUUCUUGGAGAUGUUUCUGCUGAAUAUAGCCAACCCUCUACCACCUGAACUUUUGUACCCAUACUUUCAGCUCUAGAACUUGAACAGUGACCUCGAAUUCUUCUAUACAAUGGCCUGAGAAAAUCAAAGUACUUCUGAAAUAUUCGCUUUGAUAAUGUCCGGCACCUUCUCAACGAAGGACAACGAGUUUUCCCAUCUGAGACCACAACUUUUGGUGUAUGUGAAGAGGCAGGAAGGGCAGAGCUUGAAUCUGAGACCUCAUAAGUCUCAAUUUUCAAUGGAUCAACAAAGAAAGGCAUUACAUAUCCAUUGGAAAAAAGCUCAUCAGCAUGAACAACAGUAAGAGGAGAUUGUGAAAUGGGGAAAUCAAAUUUGAAGUCCUGAGAAUUUCUAAAGAAUCUCUUAGACGGUGUCAUUUUUGGGUCCAUCUCAAUGAAGGAAGCCUCAUCAGAUGCAUCAAGAGAGGCCCUGAGGGAAUUGUCCAGGCUUUCAAGCGAUGGUUUCAGGUUUACCAGCCAGCGAUAUGAAAAACUCUCAAUAGAAAGAGGCUGGGAAGUUUCCAUGGAUGGUAGUCUAACAAGAUAUGUAAGGGAAGAGAAAUAGACAAGAUUAAAACUAAAAAAAAUAAGAGAAAGAGAUACAGAGUUGGGAUAACCAAAGGCCCUCUACUUAUUGAAUACUUAUCUCUAAAGCACAUAUAUAUACCACAAUAUAUAUCCUCUUUCUAACAAUUGGGUAUGUGGUUGUCUGAUAAGAGACAAAGGGUUUUAAUAUUUGAAAUAGAGUAAAGGGGAAAAGAAACAGAAAUAUGUGCCCCCACAAGCACCAAUUAUGUACCGUUGCAUCACCCUUUUGCCCCACUUGUCCUUUAUUCAUAUAUAUUUUGCAAACUUCACAGAAAAGAUGAUUUUUCUUUACAAUACAAGUAACAAAAAGAUAAAAAAAAAAGUUCAUGCAUAUGCCAUUGUUUAUUAUGAACAACAUGAAGAAGAGGGAUUGAAAGAAAGUAAAAGAAGAAAGAACAAAAAAAAAGGCCAAAGUCCAAUGCUUUUAAAUAUGUCUAACAAGCCCAUAUUCCAUAGAUGGGAAGUAAUUGAUAGGCAAUCAGUACAUAGUGGAAGCAGGUUCAAGCACACUAUAUUGUUUAUCCAGGGUGCUGCUAAAGCUAGAACAAAGGGAAUACAACCAAUCCAAUACUUUUGAAUGCUUCUCAUGAACCUGUAUUCCUUACAUUCUACAUAAAAUUGUUGAUCUUGGCUUGCUUUAUUUUUGACUCCAUUUUACAUAAUUCAUGAUUCCAAGGCAUACAUCCUAACUACAACAGCACAAGAUUCAAAUUAAACGAUAAAAUACUUUAUUAGAAGAUAAUAUCAUGUGCAAGCCUCCACGGUCUAUGUACAGCUAGAGAAAAUUAACAAAUGCAGGCAGGUCUUUAUAUGGUUUUAAUAUCCCAAUAAGAAGACUCCAAAUUAUAACGUAAUUCAAAUAACUUAUAUAUGCAUCGAAAGAUUAAUGCCAACUAACAUUAUGAAACAUGAGAAACCAGAAGGUGCAUCAAGAACAAUAUUGUCCCAGGAGCAGUCCAUUUAUUUCACACAUAGACAUAAAUAUUUAAUAAUUUCUGAGGAGCUGUUAAUAGAUCUAGAUGUAAAUUCCAGAUUUGUAAUCUAUUUUCAUAAUAUGAUGAUCAAUGUAUGCAGAAUUUCACAGUAUAGGUUGGAGAUCUGGACUUCACGUCUGAUAAAAGCACUUUAAAAAAUCAUAGAAGUUUAUAUUGGAAACAACUGCUCACAAUAUGUGCCAGAUCUUACCUUCUUUCUAAGGGGUGGGGAGGGAGAAAGCUUCCGUCAAACAAAAGAAAAUGUAACAUCGGAAUGAUUAAAAAACUGCAUUCAAGAAAACAGUAUUUACAGUCUUCUCUCAUUCACUAUAACAUCAAGACAAAUACAAUAGGACACUGGAUAUAAAUUCCAUUGCGCACUGCUCAGUACAGAAAAUAGACAAUAUCAAAUGACAUACAUGCUUAUACAUAGCAAAAAUUUUGUCCUUGAAUUAGUUAGACACAUAUGAGAUCUCAAAGAGAGAAAAUAUCACCAAGUUCUCUUGGCAUAGAAAUUUCAGACUUUUACAUCCACUAACGGUCCAAGUGAUGGUGAGUUUGGAUCUUCUCAAAACUUAAAUGCUUGGGAAAGUAAUGUCCUUUUCAUUCAAACCAUAACUCAUAAUUGUUUAGAUACAAUCUUUAAAAGCGAAAAUAGCAGACAAGGGUCCCCCAGGGAUGUCGGAGAAUGAAAUGGACAAUGACGAAGGUUUGUGGGACAAAAGCCAAGAAUAGAAAGUGACUAGAAACCAACUGGUCCCCCAGUAGCAUCCCCUCAAGGACACUGGGCAAUUGCCGACUUUCAAGAAGAAAGUAGUUAAAUUUUAAACAGAUGCUUCUAGGAAAAGUAGGUCUCAGUUUAAUACAUCAGAGAAACACGUAAUGCUAUUGACUUCUUUAAAAUUACCACACCAGAAAAGAAAAAAGACAAUUUUCUGAUAAGGAAAAAGUUUAAUUUACAUACAAAUCUCCAUCAUACUGUCAUACUUUACUUUUGGCCAACCAGACACAGUGGAUUAUCAAUUAAAAAAAUGCAGUUGGUUUUCAACAGAACGCCUCUUAUGGGUGGUAAGUGAUGGCUUUUGGCAUCAAGAAAACACAAAUCUCCAUUUAAUAAUCCAAUAACAAACAAACCACAAUAGAAUUGCAAAAAUUUUCAACAUGAAUAAAGAAAAAAAACUCUAUUUCUGAUCAGGUAGGUUGCUACAAGGAACUGUAGAGUACCACCAUUAUACACUGGAGUGGCUACGACCUAUGAGCAAAAGCUCCAUUAAGGUAUCUGAACAGAUCAUCUUUUUGGCUCUGAAUAAAUCUGAACUGAUCAUCUAAAAUGUUAAUGCUGUUAGAUUUGUCAACAGCGAACAAGGAAAACUGAUGACUGAUAAAAUCCAAAGCAGAGAACCUAGGUUCUGACCCUAAAAAGCACCUAUUCAGAAUGCAGCUCCCACAUAUUUUCCACCAAACAGACUCUUUGGUAUCAAUCUAAAUUGACUUUGAUAUUCUCUAUUUAGAUGAGUCACCUGGUUAUCUACAGAUUCUCAAAUCAGAAUGGAUAUUAGGUCUUUGUGAACUUCUUUAGCAUGACAACUCCUAGUAGACCAUAGUUAAUGGGAACAUCUAUCAAGAUAAACCUGGUAAAACUCUAUAAACCAGAACAAGUAUUGUAUACAACAGGAAAGGCAACAUGAGUAUACCUGAUUCAGAGCAACAUACACAGUGUAAAGAUCAUUUCAUGAGAUCUAAGAAAACAAAGGCAUUCCAGAAGCUGUGCAAUAGCAUUGGUGCAAACAAGUUCCUUGUUCGUGUAAAGACAACACCCAUCACUGCUCCAAGAAACACAAGUGGUAGCAUCCUCUGUAUAUUGAAGUAAGCUAAGGCAAAAGCUACUGAGCUCACCAAAAUUGAGCACCACGCAUACAUGUAUCUGGUCAAAGAAGAGAGAAGGAACCCACGGAAUACAAUCUCCUCCCAAAUAGGGGCACAAACUGAAACUACAACUGCAUACAGGAUCAUUGCCAUUGAGUCUCAUGCAACAAUUGAUUGCUCAACGCUUGAGACAGUGAGAGGUGUUGAAGGAAGAAUGGGCCACAGGUUCAAGUUCAUAUGAGAGAGUCGGUUGACCAGGGGAAACACGAGGCACCCUAAAGCAACUUCCAGCUGCCACUGUCCUUCAAGGCUAAACUUGAACCAGUCAGAAGGAAGGGGAUGAAGUCUUGCAAGGCAGAAAUGAAGGACUGCAAUCCCAACUAGACCUCCAGCCACAUCAGUCGAGGAGCUGUACAGUGCUUGACCACAGAAUGUCAAGGAUUCCUUUCUGAACCCUGCUGUGUGAGCUAAGAAUGGAAUUAACCAAGAUCCUACUAACCAGAAUGAGGCAAACCAAAGUAACAUAACCUGGAACGCUAAAAAAAUAUGCUUACCAUUUUUUUGGCCAAAUAAGUGAUGACUAGAAAAUCAACUUAAAAACAUUACUCCAUAUAAAAGUAGUGUAAGUUGCAUCAAUGGUUGUUCAUGUAGACUAGAGAAGUUAAAUAUAAAGUUUAUACCUUGCAGCCAUCUUUUCACACAACUGCAAUACCAAAAGAUAUGCGCUAAGCAUUUGUCCCAUUGGAAAAUUUUUUAACAGAAAUCUGUGGAUGAAAUUGAAACUGUAUUUAAGUUAAAGAGAAAGAAUUAGAUUUCAAUUUGAUCUCUUAAGAAAUUGCAGGGAAGCACAAAAGUUGUAAUGUCAGAAACCACUGGAACAGCAAGUCCCUGCCUAUCAAAUCAAAUGUAUCCAGGUUUUGUGUGGGAUUCAACAAUUAAGCAGAGGCCCAGUUUUGGUUAUUGGAAGUCUAAUUUAGCUAUUGCAUGCUCACAAGGUUCAAAAAGUAAAGCUUCUUUUCCACACUUAAAAUUCUCAAGGGAUCCAAUUUAAAUUCAAUGUUUUCCUUUCAAAGUUAAUACUGAGAGAGUUUGAUUAAUUUUAAAUUAGCUCUUUGAUAAAAAAAUUAAUGAUACAUUAUAAAAGUAAAUUUAAUAAUGCUUAUAAAGUUGAUCACACUUUAAUCGUGUCAAAAGAAGGAAAAGAAGAGAAACACUUGCUACCAUCUUCCACUACUAUAGUAACCUUUACAGUUUAUUCAUCAUGAACAGGAUAUUUUGCAAGCAUUAUCCCAUAAACUAUAAUUAUAAUUAAAAACAAUGUUUCAUACAAACGUAAUUAGUUAGUAGAAAUCCAGAAUACAUUUUAUGUCUCACAUCCAAGUGCAUAGAACAUGCAAAAUCAAGUGCAUAGAACAUGCAAAACCAAGCCCGGAUAAAGGAGGAGG
rnacentral:misc_RNA from 1 species